rnacentral:rRNA from 1 species
GAUCCUGGCUCAAGAACGAACGCUGGCGGCAUGCCUAACACAUGCAAGUCGAACGAGACCUUCGGGUCUAGUGGCGCACGGGUGCGUAACGCGUGGGAAUCUGCCCCUUGGUUCGGAAUAACAGUUAGAAAUGACUGCUAAUACCGGAUGAUGACGAAAGUCCAAAGAUUUAUCGCCGAGGGAUGAGCCCGCGUAGGAUUAGCUAGUUGGUGAGGUAAAGGGCUCACCAAGGCGACGAUCCUUAGCUGGUCUGAGAGGAUGAUCAGCCACACUGGGACUGAGACACGGCCCAGACUCCUACGGGAGGCAGCAGUGGGGAAUAUUGGACAAUGGGCGAAAGCCUGAUCCAGCAAUGCCGCGUGAGUGAUGAAGGCCUUAGGGUCGUAAAGCUCUUUACCAGGGAUGAUAAUGACAGUACCUGGAGAAUAAGCUCCGGCUAACUCCGUG